ACCCCGCCGCCGCUCGGCCCGGCCGCCAGCGCCGAGGGGCGGGGGCAGCGCCGCCGCACUGCCCGGAACGGCCCGGCCCUCCGGAGAGGCUGAGGGGGACGGCGAGGAGAGGGAGGAGGAAGGAGGAAGGAGCAGCUCCCUCGGCUGCGCUCCCUCCGCCUCCCGCGGGAGACGCGGCCCUGCGCUGGGGGCCGGGCCCACAGGCCGUGGGUCCCGCCGCGCUCCGCGGCACCGCUGAGGCGCUGCCGGCCGGGGACGCGCCCGGCCCGGGUCCCGUUUCGUGCGGGGAGAGGGUGGCGCACAGGCCGGGGGUACCGGGCCGAAGCGGGGCGUAGGGUGAGCGGCGUCCGGGCGGAGCAGGGCUCCCCGGUCCUCUCCUCGCCCCUGCGCCCCCGCGGGUGCCGGGGGCCUGUGCAAACCUACCCCGGGGGAACGCGCUCUCCUGGGAAGCGCCCCAGCUUCCAGAGGGGGUGUGCCAUCCCCCGUGACCCUGGCCUGUCCGCUGCCCGUGGGUUACAGAGCGCAGAAGGAAAGGCCUGGCUUUGCCGCAGGCUGUGUGUUAUCCUGCGGGGGAUCUAGGUCAGGAACGACAUCCCGAAGGGGCUGAUACACAUCCAUCUUGAACCAGUGUAAGAAGGUCUGUCAGAGUGAAUCUGUAAGCUUUUGUCUAUGGCAGCACAGAUUAGAGUUUAAAUCCCUUGGAAGAAAUAGCUUGAACCAGAAGAUACUGCCCAUUAAUUGCAAGAUGCACUUGAUUAUUAGAUAAAACAGUAAAAUACCUCUUCUGCAAGAGGCAGAAGUUUCUGAUUUCUGCUGAACUCACAGCUGUGUGACGCUCAUGAAUAUGGAGAUGCAGCUUCUCCCUGAUAUCCUUGUUGCUGCAUGAUGUUCAGUAGUCUCUCAGUUGCUCUCUUUGGAAAGUUGUAGGGUUACAGCACUCCUGGGCAUUCAUCUUUGCUCUAGAAGAACAUAGUGGAUUUUUUUUUUCAUUAGUAUAGCCUUUUUGAUUUUUUAAAUAUUUCUGAAACACAAGGAUAAAGGUGUGUCAAAGUGUACACCAAACCUAAUAUUAAAGAUCUCACCACAAAGAGGUGUU